rnacentral:rRNA from 1 species
UACGUAGGGAGCAAGCGUUGUCCGGAAUCAUUGGGCGUAAAGCGCGCGUAGGCGGCCCUGUAAGUCCGUUGUGAAAGUCAAAGGCUCAACCUUUGAAAGCCGAUGGAUACUGCAGGGCUAGAGUCCGGAAGAGGCGAGUGGAAUUCCUGGUGUAGCGGUGGAAUGCGCAGAUAUCAGGAGGAACACCAAUAGCGAAGGCAGCUCGCUGGGACGGUACUGACGCUGAGACGCGAAGCGUGGGGAGCGAAACA